AAUGAAAGCAGUCUGUGUUGAGAGAUUGAAAUGCAUUUCAAAGCCAGGCCUGACUCGGGUACAAGGAAGAACAGACCUAUGUACAUUUUGUAGGAAGAAAAAUGUGAAUGGAAAAGGGAGAAAGGGAGAGAAACAGGAAAAAUCUGAAUAAUACAUUAAAGUAACCAUAAUUUUGGAGAUGCAGUCAUCUUAUUGAAAUUGUGUAUGUGACCAGUGAUACUGAAGUCGGAUAUUUGCUCAGUCAGGAUGCUCAACAAUUUUAGUGUUUAAAGUUUGGAGCUGCAUGGGUUUGUGGAGGAAGUCGGCUCGUGAUAUUUCCUCAUGGCAGUGUUUCUUCUUCACCCCUUUGAAUUCAAAAGGAUGGCAUAGAUGUCAAAAAUAGUAAGUAAUGUGUGAUAUUUUCUUUAAUUAUUGUUAGUAGUUAAUCAAGUAAAGCUGAAAUGUGGUUAUUGAAAGAGUUUAGAAUCAUCACGCAUGCUUAGAAGGAAACUAGGUUUUGUGUGGCGUGUGCAUUAUUUGAUAUGAAUUACUUUUGGCUUGAUUUAACUGUUUAUCACAAUAUUGUGCUAAUGAGUGUCUUUUUCACUGCUGCUUUACCCUGUAUGGUCUAUAAUAGCUAAGUAUUGUGUGGCAUGUAAUAUAUGCAUUUUUUAGCAUUUAACAGUUCAGGAAACAAUGCAAAAAAUUGUAGGAAACUAUCUUUGGAGAGGUUAUGUUUUCUUGUCUUAUGUAUCACACAGUCUUCCUCACACAUUUAUGGUUUUGAUUCCUAUCAGUCAUGUUUUCUAAGGAGCUUUCUACUUGUGCUUGAAAUAAAUUCUUGUGUAAAACAUGAGCUUAUUUGUUCAAAAUAAAUAUCCAGAGAGAGGCAACAGUUGCUUUGAUAUUAUCAACCAGUCAUAUAAUUUUAAGGCGCUUUAGGCUACAUUCUUAAAAUUUAAGCAAGCAUUAUAACCAAAAUAACAAAGCUAUGUUUAUAGGGAUUAUCCCCUUUUAAGAAAAGUGAAAAGUCUAUUUUCAGCUUCCUAAAAAUAAGACUGACGUGUUAUCUAAAGACAUGAUACUUUAGAUUAGAGUAUAUGUCAAGUAUUUUUUUUAAAUUUAAAUAUAGCGUUGACAUUUUUAAGUAACUAUGGUGCAUGGUUUAAAUAUGUAGAUACCUUAAAUCAGAAUGAAGUGAUAUGGGGCAGAAUCAGUUCUAGCGUCUCCUUGAUAGUUUGAACAGUAUCUGCAUUAGCGUGGGCACUGCCAGAUGAAAUGUGAGAAUUCCAUGUAGGGAACCGUGAGACCUUUCUUUCUAGAGCUAAGAACAAGUUUAAGUGAAACCAAGACCUACGUUGUUUAACCCUGAAGGUAUCUGAGUUUUUCAAAGAGAUGUCAAAAUGGGGAAUGGGCUCCAGAUGGUUUCACAUAGGUCUCUACGAGGACCAAACCCUUUUCCCUCCUAGCUCUUCCUCAUAGCAAACCUAAAUUCCUGGAAGUUUGUAUUUAAGAUAAAGUCUGUUUUCUAUGCUUUUGCUGUUUUAGGUCCCUUUUCCAACUUCCUACAAAUUUCUCUCUGCCUGUGGUUUUGAGCCAUUUGCUGCCUCCUAAUGCCUGAUUUUAAAAUAGCACACAUGGCAAACUGCCAAGAAGGUGGCAGUGGGUAUUGGUUUGUAUUGGUAUUGAAGUUCUCAAGGUUGUUGUUACCCAUAAUUUACAACAGUUGCUACAAAACAGAUGAUUAAAACCUGAGGGGUAGGAGGAAAGGAGAAGAGUAAAAUUGAUUGGUACACUUCUUGAUGGAUCUAAGUGUGGUUUCUUCCCGUGAAAACAAGUUGGAUUGUUGUGUUGUCUAUGUGAACAUAAUGUUCAAGAUGAUCUGUGCUGUUCCAUCAUUGCCUACAGUCUUAAACUGAUAGAGAAGCACAAUAUGAAAGAGCUUUUGUUUGAAAUAUGUAAUUACUUAUACCAGUUAUACAGAUUUUUUUUUAUUUCAUUCCUUUUUGUAAAAAAUUAAGCUUGUUAAAUUGAGAUUGUUGCUAUUUUUUAGUUCUUAAAAUAAAAAUUUUAUUAUUUAGUCCUGUCAUUGCUGUUUUAUUGCUAACCCAAAUUACUACCUGAGCAAUAAUACUUUGUCUUUUGCUUAUUAAUUACAUGUCCAGUCAAUCUUGUAAGUGUCUUCCAAAAUUUCUCUUCUAUGUUGUCUUUAAGCAUUUUUGGUAAAAGCUUGAGAUAACUUUUUGGGUGUAGUUAUAAAGAAUGCCCGUAAAGAUAUGUUAAGGAAUAGGUAAUCAGACCUGAAAAUCAGUUAAAGUUCCUGCUUGCUUGAUUUAUCAAGGAUUGAUUAUUCUAGAGCCCUUGUUAGUGAAGAAAUGAAUGUUUCCUUUUUCCCUCAACAUAGGUGCAAAUAUUAUUCUGUAAGCACCUGCAUUUUGGGUACCCGGAGAGCUAGAUAUUCCACAGCUAACCAUUGGGGUAAGGGAAGCUUCUCAAAUCUUUUGCUUAUGGGCUUUCUAUUCCUGGACAUAACAAUUGAUAUGCCAUGUACUGUACUACUUGCUAAACCAAAACAAAAACAAAGACAAAAAAAAAAA
rnacentral:lncRNA from 1 species